GAGCUCUACCCGGUCCACUCAUCCACCUCCUCCGUCGCUGCACCCAUGGCGCUUUCCGCCGGAGUGGACCUUUGGCAUGCUCGUCUCGGUCAUCCCAACACCGCCACCCUUCGUCAUAUUCUUCGUAGUUUUUCAUUCACAUGUAAUAAGAUCGACGAUCACACUUGUCAUGCUUGUCGUCUCAGCAAACAUGCUCGUCUUCCUUUUAGCACUUCCUCGCAUGUUGCAUCAUACCCGUUUGAGUUAAUUCAUAGUGAUGUUUGGACCUCUCCUGUCGCAAGUAACACGGGCUAUCUUUAUUAUCUUGUCAUACUUGAUGAUUUUUCGCACUAUGUGUGGACCUUCUCGUUGCAGCGAAAGUCGGAUGUUGUUGCCACUCUCACUGCGUUCUACUCCUAUGUGUCCACCCAGUUUGGACGUCCCAUACAUGCGUUGCAAACAGACAACGGGAAGGAGUUUGAUAAUCUUGCGAUCCGCAACCUUCUCGCCACACAUGACACGAUUUUUCGUCUCACUUGCACGUACAAUUCGCAACAAAAUGGCCGCGCUGAGCGCGUGCUUCGCACUCUUAAUGACUGCGUCCGCACCCUCCUUUUGCACGCCAACGUGCCACCACGUUUUUGGCCUGACGCGCUUGCCACCGCUUCACUACUCAUCAACAUUCGUCCCUGUCGCACUCAGGGGAAUUUUGCACCUCAUCACCUUUUGUUCGGCAUGCCCCCCUCCUAUGCUGAGCUCCGCAUCUUCGGUUGCCUGUGCUAUCCUAGCAUUGCUUCCACUACUCCUCAUAAGCUCGCACCUCGGUUUAUGGACUGCAUUUUUCUCGGCUAUCCCCCCAACACCAAAGGCUACCGCUGCUAUGAUCCUAUCUCACAUCGGGUGAUCACUUCCAUACACGUUUACUUU
rnacentral:rRNA from 1 species